rnacentral:rRNA from 1 species
UACGUAGGGUGCAAGCGUUAAUCGGAAUUACUGGGCGUAAAGCGUGCGCAGGCGGUUUUGUAAGUCUGUCGUGAAAUCCCCGGGCUCAACCUGGGAAUUGCGAUGGAGACUGCAAGGCUAGAAUCUGGCAGAGGGGGGUAGAAUUCCACGUGUAGCAGUGAAAUGCGUAGAGAUGUGGAGGAACACCGAUGGCGAAGGCAGCCCCCUGGGUCAAGAUUGACGCUCAUGCACGAAAGCGUGGGGAGCAAACAGGAUUAGAGUACCC